rnacentral:rRNA from 1 species
GACGAACGCUGGCGGCGUGGAUUAGGCAUGCAAGUCGAACGGUAGAGGACUUUCGGGUCCUUGAGAGUGGCGAACGGGUGAGUAACGCGUAGGUUAUCUACCCUCAAAUUGGGGACAACCCAGGGAAACUUGGGCUAAUACCGAAUGAGAGCAGCUUUAGGGUUGCUUAAAAGAUGGCGAAAGCUGUUGUUUGAGGAUGAGCCUGCGUCCCAUUAGUUAGUUGGUAAGGUAAUGGCUUACCAAGGCGAUGAUAGGUAGGCGGCCUUAACGGGUGGUCGCCCACACUGGGAUUGAGAUACGGCCCAGACUCCUACGGGUGGCAG